AAUCCGCCGCCUAGAAUUGACUGGUUUGGACUAAAUGUUGCAAGCGGGGAACCUUGAGCUACCUACGCCAGCGUUCUGGAUUAUUUUCCAAAUUUGGUUCCUGAUAAUCUGAGAAAGCUAUGCGCUCAGUAAGAGCAGGGACCUUGUUUUAUCAAACUUUGAUCUUUCAUUAAGCACACAGUGGGCAUUCAACAAACUUGUGUAAACUUGGAAUCAGAUUUAGCCCAGGCCGGUGCGGUGGCUCCUUCCUGUAAUCCCAGCACUUUGGGAAGCCUAGGAGGGCGGAUCGCUUGAACUCAGGUGUUCGAGACCAGCCUGAGCAACAUAGCGAGGCUCCGUCUCUACAAAAAAUACAAACACUAGCCGGCCCUGUGGUGCAGACCUGUAGUCCCAGCUACUGAAGAGGCUGAGGUGGGAGGAUCCCCUGAGCCCAGGCGGUCGAGGCUGCAGUGAGCUGAGAUCGGGCCUCUCCAUUCCAGCCCGGGCGACAAAGUGAGUGAGACCUUAUCUCAAAAAAAAAAAGAGUCCAAGCUUUAGAGAAGGAAAUAAGGCUAUUUUUAAACGGGUAUAUAUUAUUAAAUUGAGACCCUGGCUAUAUUAGGUCACCCUGCAUUCAUAUAAUUUACGACUUCAUGUAUUCACUCCGUUCGGCAUUACUAUCCCUAGUAAACAGCGAUUUGCCCUUAGCUAUGUAAACGAUUUUAGCUAUAUAGACGAUAUUUAUCAGCAUCAUAAAGAAGGAUUCACUGAACAUUCAUUGAAGACAUAAUUGUGUGUAACAUUGCGAGUAUUAAAUAUAGCUUUUUAGACAUAGCACUGGCCUUAGGUGGUAAUGCUGAAUGUUGUUGAUGCAUGAAUCUAUAACCUGCUAUUAAAUGUCCUCAUUUCUCAGAACAUAAAGUUAAUAAUGCUAUAUAAGAAACCAACCUCAUUAUACUGAACACCACUUCAGUUUUAGCUUGUGUUUUUGAAAUGAUGAUACUUCACAUCAAAGGCAAAUGUUGAGUUCUAGAGAUAAUUAAAAGCUUCCUCAGCUUUUUGCUAUGCACAAUAGAAAGAAAUAAGAGUAAUCCAAAUUUAGUUUAUAUUUGUAAGUGGCUUGGAACGUAAUUUAUUCAUGCAUUUGAAUGUGUUUGACUACAAAAAUAGUUGUUUAAUGUGGCUCCAAAAUAAAAGUUUACAGAAAAAUAGAGAUAGUUGCUAAUGUUACAUGGCUUAAGUGUUUUUAUUAUUUUACACCCUUAGGUAAUUUUUAUUUUGCAGCCUGUUUCUUUGUAAAAAGGAGAUAGAGACACUAACUCGCGAGCUGUGAAUAAUGUAUCCGUAUAAGAGGAUUUAUCACAGAUCAUAGUAGGUGCUUAAAAAUAUUGUGUUAUUGGCCGGGCGCGGUGGCUGACUCCUGUGAUCCCAACACUUUGGGAGGCUGAAGCAGGCGGAUCAUGAGGUCAAGAGAUCAAGACCAUUCUGGCCAACAUGGUGAAACUCCCUGUCUACUAAAAAUACAAAAAUUAGCUAGGCAUGGUGGCGCGUGCCUAUAGUCCUAGCUACUCGGGAGGCUGAGGCAGGAGAAUCGCUUGAACCCGGGAGGCAGAGGUUGCAGUGAGCUAAGAUUGUGCCACUGCACUCCAGCCUGGAGACAGAGUGAGACUCUGCACCCCCCCAAAAAAAUUGUGUUAUUAAAAUACAAAUGGCAGCUUCCACUCCACUGUAAUUGUCAAUUACAAGCUUAACUACAACUCACUGAGGUAUGAAGUGAAUGAGUUAUAGACCACAUAAGCAAAGUACUACAGGAACAAUGAAUAAGAAAACGUUACUUCUGUCAGAUAAUAUAUAAUUUGCCCUUAGGUCGUCAAUAACGCACUCCUUUAAAACUCUAAAUAUUGCACAGCAUCUACUGCAUCUCAAACAGUAGAGCCUCAAUGGCAAAGCCUUCACUGACUUCUUCAGAAAAAGUUAGGAUUGUUCCACUCCCCUCAGGACUCUGUAAGGUGUGGGCAGGGCACCGUGGCUCACGCCUGUAAUCCCAGCACUUUGGGACGCUGAGGCGGGUGGAUCACCUGAGGUCAAGAGUUCCAGACCAGCCUGGCCACCAUGGUGAAACCCCCAUCUUCCACUAAAAAUAAAAAAAAAUUAGCUGUGCGUGGUGGUGGGUGACUGUAAUCCCAGCUACUCGGGAGGCUGAGGCAGGAGAAUCGCUUGAACCCAGGAGGCAGGAGUUGCAGUGAGCUGAGAUCGUGCCACUGCACUCCAGCCUGGACAACAAGGGCAAAACUCCGACUCAAAAAAUAAAUGAAUAAAACUCUGGUAUUGUGUUUUGAUGGAAAGUACUAUGACUUCGGAGUACCACGAACCUGGAUUUCAGUCCCAGUUUUGUUGCUGUUAACCACUUCAGAUUUAAUGUCUUCAUCUGUAAAAUCGAAUAUAUGAAAAUGUAUGUCUUCUGUUUUGUGAAAAGUAAAUGAUAUAUGUAAAAACAGUAGGUGUUGCAGAAUGGGUACUCAGUAAAUGCCACUUCUCUACCCCUACUAAUUUCAAAGCUUUAUCUUUGUUUCUCCGGCACCCUAAUGUCUGGCACUUUAAAUGUUUGCUGAAUGAAUUAAUGAGUAAAAGAAGAGAAAUAAAAUGACAUUUCUCUUGCUAUGGAAUUGUUAAUGUCAUAAAAAACAAUACAAAUCAUUUUAUAUUGAUUUGUGAAAAAAAUUAUGAAUGAAAGGAUAACUACAUUACUGAAAAAAUGUUAACAACUUUAUUGAGAUAUCAUUGACAAUAAACUGCACAUAAUGUGUAAUUUUGAUACAUUUUGACGUAUGUAUACACCAGUGAAGCCAUCAACCCCAUCAAGAUAAUGAACAUAUCCAGACUUUCAAAAUUUUCCUGAAGUACCUUUAUAUCCAGAAUAAAAAUUCCAGAAUAUCCCGGAAUCCUUCCUGCCCGUCAAGGCCUCCUCACCAUGGCCCCUCAAAAUAACUGAUCGUCUUUCUGUCACUAUGAGUUGUUUGCAUUUUUUAAAAUUUUAUACAGGUGAAAUCAUAUAGUAUGUGUUCUUUUUUAUCUGUCUUAAUUCACUCAGCAUAAUUAUUUUGAGAUUCACCUGUGUAGUUGCUUGAAUCAACAGUUCAUUCCUUUUUAUUAGAGGAGGAUUCCGCUGUGUGGAUAUACCACAAUUUGUUUUUCCAUUCACCCAUUGAGAGAUAUUUGGUUUGUUUUCCAUUUUGACGACUGUAAAUAAGGCUUCUGUGAAUAUCUGUGUACGAAUCUUCGUAUAAACAUAAACUAAUUUUUCCUGGGUAAAUACCUAGGAGUAGAAUGAUAUGAUAGGUUAUCUUCAGCUUUUUAAAGAAACUGUCAAACUGUUUUCCAAAAACAGUUGUAAAGUUUUAUGUUUCCACCAGCAAUGUAGUUCCAUUUUCUCUAUUUUCUCAACAUCAUUGCCAACACUUCAUGAGGUCUAAAGAUGUUAAGCUUACGGCCGGGCGCGGUGGCUCAUGCAUGUAAAUCCCAGCACUUUGGGAGGCCAAGAUGGGCGGAGCACAAGGUCAGGAGUUUGACACCAGCCUGGUCAACAUGGUGAAACCCCAUCUCUAUUAAAAAUACAAAAAACU
rnacentral:lncRNA from 1 species